UACGGAGGGAGCUAGCGUUGUUCGGAAUUACUGGGCGUAAAGCGCACGUAGGCGGCUUUUUAAGUCAGGGGUGAAAUCCCGGGGCUCAACCCCGGAACUGCCCUUGAAACUGGAGAGCUAGAAUCUUGGAGAGGCGAGUGGAAUUCCGAGUGUAGAGGUGAAAUUCGUAGAUAUUCGGAAGAACACCAGUGGCGAAGGCGACUCGCUGGACAAGUAUUGACGCUGAGGUGCGAAAGCGUGGGGAGC
rnacentral:rRNA from 1 species